UGUAUAAAUGUCCCACAGAUAAUAUAGCUAAAGUACUUGUAAUAUUGUUCAAUAAUUAAUGAUCAAUGUUCCUCAACUCUGCACACAAGCUGCUCCAUGAAAACAUACAAGACGACGUAUUCAUUAUUGCCUCAGACAAAAUCUCACCAACCAUGAUUAUACGCCAAUAUGGCACAAAAGUUUUAGUAUCCACAGUACAUAAAAAUCACAAAAUGGCAGCUAGAACAUGUUCUUUAAAGUUUAUAAAAGCACAAACUGAUUUAACGUGCCUGCAUGCUUAUCACUUGACGUUCCUCAAAAACACUUUUUUCUAAAUACCACUGAAAUAAAAAAAAAUCAUCCUCCAUUUCCUGCUGUUACUACAUUGUUAGAGUAUAUAAUAAUCCAUAAGCACCUGCUGUCACAAAGGCACAAGGUAUAUAAUCAGACACACGCAGGUUUCAUAUAGAGAUAUUAGCCUGUUUUAUACAGUGCAGUUAUUGAUGCAGAGAGAGAUAUUGAUCAGGCUACGAGAAAACCUCCCCCCUAACACCACACCAUUGCAACGAUUCGUGCCAGCUAGCCUAUAAUUGUUCAUGUAUCUAAAACAGUUAAAAACUGAAUGGAGCCAGUUGGAUUCAGAAACAAGUGGAAUUGCUUCACUGUAGUUAUUAAUAGGAAGAUCAGAACUUCACUUAUACAACAUGAUCGAUGAAUGGAUGUAAAACCAUUGCUGACAACAGAUUGGGACUUUAUUAAAAUUGGAAAUUCGAAUUGUCCGUGAAACGUGACACGACCACUUCUGCUACGCCAGGAAAAAAAAGAAUGAAUUUAAACUUACUUGCAAUUCCUUACUUAUCCUUGAUUCACAUUUUGGCAAAAAUCUCUGUCCGAAUUUGUUUCUGUAUUUGUAGAGCAAGGAUGUACACAAAUCAAAUGAAUGACAGAAUACUAGA